rnacentral:rRNA from 1 species
GACGAAGGGUGCAAGCGUUAUUCGGAAUCACUGGGCGUAAAGGGCUCGUAGGUGGCCAACUAAGUCAGACGUGAAAUCCCUCGGCUUAACCGGGGAACUGCUUCUGAUACUGGAUGGCUUGAGUUUGGGAGAGGGAUGCGGAAUUCCAGGUGUAGCGGUGAAAUGCGUAGAUAUCUGGAGGAACACCGGUGGCGAAGGCGGCAUCCUGGACCAACACUGACACUGAUGAGCGAAAGCCAGGGGAGCAAACGGG